UGGGGAAUCUUGGACAAUGGGGGCAACCCUGAUCCAGCCAUGCCGCGUGAGUGAAGAAGGCCUUAGGGUCGUAAAGCUCUUUCAGCUGGGAAGAUAAUGACGGUACCAGCAGAAGAAGCCCCGGCUAACUCCGUGCCAGCAGCCGCGGUAAUACGGAGGGGGCUAGCGUUGUUCGGAAUUACUGGGCGUAAAGCGCGCGUAGGCGGGCUGUUAAGUCGGGGGUGAAAUCCCGGGGCUCAACCCCGGAACUGCCUCCGAUACUGGCAGCCUAGAGGAUGAGAGAGGCGAGUGGAAUACCGAGUGUAGAGGUGAAAUUCGUAGAUAUUCGGUGGAACACCAGUGGCGAAGGCGGCUCGCUGGCUCAUUUCUGACGCUGAGGUGCGAAAGCGUGGGGAGCAAACAGGAUUAGAUACCCCCGUAGUCC
rnacentral:rRNA from 1 species